UACGGAGGGGGCUAGCGAUGUUCGGAAUUACUGGGCGUAAAGCGCGCGUAGGCUGACCUGCAAGUCGGGGGUGAAAGCCCGAGGCUCAACCUCGGAACUGCCUUCGAGACUGCGGGUCUCGAGUCCGGGAGAGGUGAGUGGAAUUCCUAGUGUAGAGGUGAAAUUCGUAGAUAUUAGGAAGAACACCAGUGGCGAAGGCGGCUCACUGGCCCGGUACUGACGCUGAGGCGCGAAAGCGUGGGGAGCAAACAGG
rnacentral:rRNA from 1 species